rnacentral:tRNA from 1 species
GUCAGGAUGGCCGAGUGGUCUAAGGCGCUGCGUUUAGGCCACAGUCUCCCCUGGAGGCGUGGGUUCAAAUCCCACUUCUGACA